rnacentral:rRNA from 1 species
AAUCAACGCUGGCGGCGUGCCUCAGACAUGCAAGUCGAACGAUUAAAGCUCUCUUCGGAGAGUGUAUAGAGUGGCGCACGGGUGAGUAACACGUAAGUAAUCUACCUUUGAGUGGGGAAUAACCCGGGGAAACCCGAGCUAAUACCGCAUAAUGCAGCGGCACCGCAAGGUGACAGUUGUUAAAGGAGCAAUCCGCUUAAAGAGGAGCUUGCGGCAGAUUAGCUAGUGGUAAGGUAAUGGCUUACCAAGGCUACGAUCUGUAUCCGGUCUAAGAGGACGGUCGGACACACUGACACUGAAUAACGGGUCAGACUCCUACGGGAGGCAGCAGUCGGGAAUUUUGGGCAAUGGGCGAAAGCCUGACCCAGCAACGCCGCGUGAAGGAUGAAGUAUUUCGGUAUGUAAACUUCGAAAGAAUAGGAAGAAUAAA